AGCAGCCGCGGUAAUUCCAGCUCCAAUAGCGUAUAUUAAAGUUGUUGCAGUUAAAAAGCUCGUAGUUGAAUUUCGGGAUCAAGUCGUCGGUCGUGCCUCGGUACGCACUGGUGACAUUGGUUUCUCCCUUCUGAAGAACCUUGAUGUCAUUAAUUUGGUGUUUUGGGGAAUCAGGACUGUUACUUUGAAAAAAUUAGAGUGUUUAAAGCAGGCUCACGCUUGAAUACAUUAGCAUGGAAUAAUGAAAUAGGACGUUUGAUUCUAUUUUGUUGGUUUCUAGGAUCGACGUAAUGAUUAAUAGGGAUAGUUGGGGGCAUUAGUAUUCAAUUGUCAGAGGUGAAAUUCUUGGAUUUAUUGAAGCCUAACUACUGCGAAAGCAUUUGCCAAGGAUGUUUUCAUUAAUCAAGAACGAAAGUUAGGGGAUCGAAGACGAUCAAAUACCGUCGUAGUCUUAACCAUAAACUAUGCCGACUAGGGAUCGGAUGAUGUUAAUUUUUUAAUGACUCAUUCGGCGCCUUAC
rnacentral:rRNA from 1 species